UCAGGCCUAACACAUGCAAGUCGAACGGCAGCACGGGUGCUUGCACCUGGUGGCGAGUGGCGAACGGGUGAGUAAUACAUCGGAACGUACCUUAUCGUGGGGGAUAACGCAGCGAAAGUUGCGCUAAUACCGCAUACGCCCUGAGGGGGAAAGCGGGGGACCGUAAGGCCUCGCGCGAUUAGAGCGGCCGAUGUCUGAUUAGCUUGUUGGUGAGGUAAAAGCUCACCAAGGCGAUGAUCAGUAGCUGGUCUGAGAGGACGAUCAGCCACACUGGGACUGAGACACGGCCCAGACUCCUACGGGAGGCAGCAGUGGGGAAUUUUGGACAAUGGGGGCAACCCUGAUCCAGCAAUGCCGCGUGAGUGAAGAAGGCCUUCGGGUUGUAAAGCUCUUUUGUCAGGGAAGAAACAGCAGCUCUAACACAGUCUGCGAAUGAC
rnacentral:rRNA from 1 species